rnacentral:lncRNA from 9 species
GGAGGGUCACUCUUUCUAACUCAAUUCCCCGCGUGGUGUAUUUCUACAGAGUCAGUGGUGGAGAGCAUGAGCAGCCGCCAGGAUGAGGAGGCUGCAGAAUCUUGCUUUGGAAACCUAGGAUCUUGCUUCAGGAGUCUGAGGGCAAUUUUGUUCUUUACCACCUUGGCUGGAAUAAUCCCAUGGUGGCCACACAACAGGGUGCACCCUGCCAAUGAGCCAGAUGAAGCAACCCUCGAUGAUGUUGUGGAGGCCGGCGGGAGUGAGAAGACGGAGGAAGAGGCCCUGGCUGGGGCAAAUGAGGAGGAGGUGGGGCCGGGAACUGAGAAGGUGCAGGAGGAGGCUGCCUGCAUUGACGAGGCAGAGGAGGAGGCAGGCCCAUCCCUUGAAAAUGACGAGGAGUCCCCAGCCAGCGACCUGGUUGAGCAGGAAGACCAGCUUGCCCCCAAGGUGGACGGGAUGGACGAUGAAAGCCUAUGUUUCAUGGAGAGUCUGAGUGACAGCAACCAUGAUGAAAGUGAUACAGACUCAGUGGUGGAGAGCCUGAGCAGCCGCCAGGAUGAGGAGGCUGCAGACUCCUCUGGGACACCUUGAAGCCUCAGCCUGGGACUGGAAGAGUCCAAAAGUUUCCAUCUUGACCAGGAUACAAGAUUGACCUCACUCUUCAUCUAUUACGAGCCAACUUUAGUAUAAGCUUAGUUCUUUAUUGUCUAGAUUUAGUAUUAAGUUCUGAUACAUGUUUACUACUUGGUAUAUAAGAUUUUGGUAGAAUGUAAGAUUGUGUAUUAAAUAAUUGUUACCUAUCCAUUUGCUUUUUUUAAAACUAGUUUUCGAUAAAAUAAACACAGGUAUAGGAAAGCCCCCUUAAGCAGAGGUAGAACUUAAUGCACUGGAGUCAGGCAGUCACC